AGAAUAUAUUUAUAUAGAAAAAUAUAUGAGGUUUUUCUUAAGUUUUCUACCACUCUUGUAAUAUAUAAUUGUAUGGUUGGGUUUUGGUUAAGUGAGAGAUGUUUAAGACCAUGAAUGUACUGAGAUUUGCUAGCUGUCCAUGUACUAAAGAAAUUCUGAAAAUAUGUUUUGUUUUGGAUGCCUAAACAGGCCCACUUUACCCCUUGCUCAACUUCACCCCUUUUUGUUUAAUCAAAGAUAAACCUUACUAUAAAAAACCAUUGAAGAAUAAGUGACAAAAACCAACCUCUUGUAAGCAUUGUCUUUUGUUGGAAUCACUUUCCACAUGAUGUUAUAAGCUGUCAAAAUGCCCUUUUGAUAAAAUUUUCAGAUUUGGGUGGUACCUCCUUGUUCCUUAUCAUACUUAAAUAAAUCCCUACCAUCCUAUACAUUUUAACUUAUGAUACAUACCUAUCCCUUGUAUAGAGAAUAGUAGCCUUUAAAGAGGGACAGCAAGCAAGCUUCAUACUUUCAUGGGUUUCUUUAAAUAUUGGAGUGAGGAUACUAAGGGUUGACUUAGUGCCAUGUGGGUAGCUAAUUGUGUUAAGGAAAACACUUUAAUUCCAAAUUGGAAUUUAAGUCAGCGUGUAAGGGUGUCAAUUAGUAAAGUUUAAAGUAAGAUGGAUAUUAAUGUGUUUAUUCCAUUUCAUUGGAUUGGAGUUUAUUUUCAAGUUCAAAGGAACUCACUAGUAAAGCUCCCAGGUAAGUAGCUAUGACCAUGCUUCUUACACCAAGUUCUCUUUAUGAAAGAAUGUCUCUCUCUUAUUGCAAAUGCUCUUCUAAAGAAAAGAGUAAAUGAAUAUAGUAUGUACAAGCCCUUUCUUGAUAGCCCCUGUUAAGCACUCUAUUGACUAUAAUUGUGUGUAUAAGUAA